GAUGAACGCUGGCGGCGUGCCUAAUACAUGCGAGUCGAGCGAACAGACGAGGAGCUUGCUCCUCUGACGUUAGCGGCGGACGGGUGAGUAACACGUGGAUAACCUACCUAUAAGACUGGGAUAACUUCGGGAAACCGGAGCUAAUACCGGAUAAUAUAUUGAACCGCAUGGUUCAAUAGUGAAAGACGGUUUUGCUGUCACUUAUAGAUGGAUCCGCGCCGCAUUAGCUAGUUGGUAAGGUAACGGCUUACCAAGGCAACGAUGCGUAGCCGACCUGAGAGGGUGAUCGGCCACACUGGAACUGAGACACGGUCCAGACUCCUACGGGAGGCAGCAGUAGGGAAUCUUCCGCAAUGGGCGAAAGCCUGACGGAGCAACGCCGCGUGAGUGAUGAAGGUCUUCGGAUCGUAAAACUCUGUUAUUAGGGAAGAACAAAUGUGUAAGUAACUAUGCACGUCUUGACGGUACCUAAGCAGAAAGCCACGGCUACUACGUG
rnacentral:rRNA from 1 species